rnacentral:rRNA from 1 species
AUUGAACGCUGGCGGCAGGCCUAACACAUGCAAGUCGAGCGCGCGGCGGACGGGUGAGUAAUGUAUGGGAAACUGCCUGAUGGAGGGGGAUAACUACUGGAAACGGUAGCUAAUACCGCAUACCAUCAGAUGUGCCCCGAUGGGGUUAGCUAGUAGGUGGGGUAACGGCUCACCUAGGCGACGAUCCCUAGCUGGUCUGAGAGGGUGACCAGCCACACUGGAACUGAGACACGGUCCAGACUCCUACGGGAGGCAGCAGUGGGGAAUAUUGCACAAUGGGCGCAAGCCUGAUGCAGCCAUGCCGCGUGUAUGAAGAAGGCCUUCGGGUUGUAAAGUACUUUCAGCGGGGAGGCGUUACCCGCAGAAGAAGCACCGGCUAACUCCGUGCCAGCAGCCGCGGUAAUUC